UGAGGAAUAUUGGUCAAUGGCCGAGAGGCUGAACCAGCCAAGUCGCGUGAGGGAUGACGGCCCUAUGGGUUGUAAACCUCUUUUGUCAGGGAGCAAAUAGGAGAACGUGUUCUCCGUCGAGAGUACCUGAAGAAAAAGCAUCGGCUAACUCCGUGCCAGCAGCCGCGGUAAUACGGAGGAUGCGAGCGUUAUCCGGAUUUAUUGGGUUUAAAGGGUGCGCAGGCGGAAUGGUAAGUCAGCGGUAAAAUUGAGAGGCUCAACCUCUUCCCGCCGUUGAAACUGUCAUUCUAGAGUGGGUGAGAAGUAUGCGGAAUGCGUGGUGUAGCGGUGAAAUGCAUAGAUAUCACGCAGAACUCCGAUUGCGAAGGCAGCAUACCGGCGCCCGACUGACGCUCAUGCACGAAAGCGUGGGUAUCGAACAGG
rnacentral:rRNA from 1 species